UAAUGGCUUCGUGACGUUUAUAAGGUAACGAUCCGAAGCCUCUUGUAGAUUAACAGAGGUUCUUUCUGCUUAUUCCUAUUCAAUUCGUCCACGACAAACUUAUUUACUCACUUAUCGGGCGCUUCGCAGUCUUGGCCUUCUGCAGCAAACAGUAUUCCAAUAUUAGAGCUUGAGUAGAUGGUGAAACUCCUCUGUAGGAUACGAGACGUGGUCAACUUCAAAGGA
rnacentral:ribozyme from 1 species